UAAAAACCAGUGAUUAAACCAGAGAAAUCA
rnacentral:piRNA from 1 species